rnacentral:lncRNA from 1 species
GAGAAUUCUACCGAAAAUCUGACAAAACCUCCCCUACAAUAGUACAUUACCCCCCAUAAAAACGGGUCCAGGACCUGCCAGAAAAACACUACAAAUAUCCAAUAAUCCAGACAACGAGAGUCGGGUCCCCAGACUUCACUAUUUCCCGACUCCGCCACAAAGCACAAAACACGAGGCAGGCAAACUAACAGACAAUUAUU